GCAGUCGAGCGCCCCGCAAGGGGAGCGGCAGACGGGUGAGUAACGCGUGGGAAUCUACCGUACCCUACGGAAUAACGCAUGGAAACGUGUGCUAAUACCGUAUACGCCCUUCGGGGGAAAGAUUUAUCGGGGUAUGAUGAGCCCGCGUUGGAUUAGCUAGUUGGUGGGGUAAAGGCCUACCAAGGCGACGAUCCAUAGCUGGUCUGAGAGGAUGAUCAGCCACAUUGGGACUGAGACACGGCCCAAACUCCUACGGGAGGCAGCAGUGGGGAAUAUUGGACAAUGGGCGCAAGCCUGAUCCAGCCAUGCCGCGUGAGUGAUGAAGGUCUUAGGAUUGUAAAGCUCUUUCACCGGAGAAGAUAAUGACGGUAUCCGGAGAAGAAGCCCCGGCUAACUUCGUGCCA
rnacentral:rRNA from 1 species